CCCAAACAUCCAUCAACAGCUGAACAAACAGCCGCGUGUAUCCACACAAUGGAGCACACCGCACACUCUACUGUAAAGCAUAGGAAGGAGAGACACGCGCGUCAGCGAGAACGGCUCUCAAAACAAUCAAAACGGAAAAUAACACAAAUGACUCUCCUCAGGCGGAUGGGCUACAAAGAGGAACAAGGUAUUGGCAGUGUGGAUUAACGUCCAGCAAAUUAGUGAUGAAAAGAGCAACUGCAGUGGAGAAACCUGAGGAACGCCCUCCAGCAGCCCACCAAGGUCAGCAUUGGCAGUGAGGAGGCACAGGGAUGACACACGCCAAUGAUUUUAUGUGGAAAUAUAGGCACUUUAUCU